GACGAACCACACAAACGUUAUUCGGAAUUACUGGGCUUAAAGGGUGCGUAGGCUGUGCAGAAAGUUAGGUGUGAAAUCCCCCGGCUCAACCGGGGAAUUGCGCUUAAAACUACUGUGCUAGAGGAAUACAGAGGUGAGCGGAACUUCGGGUGGAGCGGUGAAAUGCGUUGAUAUCCGAAGGAACACCGGUGGCGAAAGCGGCUCACUGGGUAUUUUCUGACGCUGAUGCACGAAAGCUAGGGGAGCAAACGGG
rnacentral:rRNA from 1 species